GAACAAGAGAUAAAUAGGAGUUGUUUAAGCGCAGAUAUGGCAGGAGAGUAUGUACCAAAACAGGGGGAAGGACAUAAGGGAAAGCAAAAAUGCUGAGAUGUCAUUGUAGUCUCUCUGAAUAUUUGUAGUCUAUUGGAUGUUUUUUCCUUUUGGUAGAAAAUUUUUGUAAUCUAGGAUAUCAGCUUUUAAUACUAUUGGGACUGUGAGUUCCUAUCAAUAAAAGUGUCCUUUCUG
rnacentral:lncRNA from 1 species